AAUGMAGYCGACGCAGCGGUAGGAGUUGCUCCUAUGCGGCGAGUGGCGGACGGGUGAGGAACACAUCGGAAUCUACUCCGUCGUGGGGGGAUAACGUAGGGAAACUUACGCUAAUACCGCAUACGACCUAAGGGUGAAAGUSGGGGGACCGCAAGGCCCUCACGCGAUGGAAUGAGCCGAUGUCCGAUUAGCUAGUUGGCGGGGUAAAGGCCCACCAAGGCGACGAUCGGUAGCUGGUCUGAGAGGAUGAUCAGCCACACUGGGACUGAGACACGGGCCAGACUCCUACGGGAGGCAGCAGUUGGGGAAUAUUGGACAAUGGGCGAAAGCUKAUUCAGCCAUGCCGSGUGGGUUAAGAAGGCCUUCGGGUUGUAAAGCCUUUUGUUGGGGAAGARAAUCCUGCUGGCUAAUACCCGGCGGGGAUGACGGUACCCAAAGG
rnacentral:rRNA from 1 species